GCAAGUCGAACGAAGUCUUCGGACUUAGUGGCGGACGGGUGAGUAACACGUGGGAACGUGCCUUUAGGUUCGGAAUAACUCAGGGAAACUUGUGCUAAUACCGAAUGUGCCCUUCGGGGGAAAGAUUUAUCGCCUUUAGAGCGGCCCGCGUCUGAUUAGCUAGUUGGUGAGGUAAAGGCUCACCAAGGCGGCGAUCAGUAGCUGGUCUGAGAGGAUGAUCAGCCACAUUGGGACUGAGACACGGCCCAAACUCCUACGGGAGGCAGCAGUGGGGAAUCUUGCGCAAUGGGCGAAAGCCUGACGCAGCCAUGCCGCGUGAAUGAUGAAGGUCUUAGGAUUGUAAAAUUCUUUCACCGGGGACGAUAAUGACGGUACCCGGAGAAGAAGCCCCGGCUAACUUCGUGCCAGCAGCCGCGGUAAUACGAAGGGGGCUAGCGUUGCUCGGAAUUACUGGGCGUAAAGGGAGCGUAGGCGGACAUUUAAGUCAGGGGUGAAAUCCCGGGGCUCAACCUCGGAAUUGCCUUUGAUACUGGGUGUCUUGAGUGUGAGAGAGGUAUGUGGAACUCCGAGUGUAGAGGUGAAAUUCGUAGAUAUUCGGAAGAACACCAG
rnacentral:rRNA from 1 species